GCCCGCUUGGCUAAGUGGUAUAGCGUGUCACUAGUACUUCGGUAACUCCUAGAUGUCAUGACAAGAUCAGCGGUUCGAUUCCGCUAGUGGGCA